UACGAAGGGGGCUAGCGUUGUUCGGAAUUACUGGGCGUAAAGGGCGCGUAGGCUGUGCUGUAAGUCAGGCGUGAAAGCCCCGGGCUCAACCUGGGAAUGGCGCUUGAUACUGCGGCGCUGGAAGGUGGGAGAGGAUGGCGGAAUUCCCAGUGUAGAGGUGAAAUUCGUAGAUAUUGGGAAGAACACCGGUGGCGAAGGCGGCCAUCUGGCCCGCAUUUGACGCUGAGGCGCGAAAGCGUGGGGAGCAAACAGG
rnacentral:rRNA from 1 species